CAAAGAACAAGAAUAACUACUGCUAUUGUUUGCUGGCUGUGCACCAAGUAUGAACUCUUUUGUCUUUGAGCUAAUUUGCUUUUCACUCAGCCAUCUGUACUGAACACUGUUAUUAUCCGCAUUAUGUGGAUGAGGAAGAGACUUGCCCAAGUUGACAGAGUGAGCCACGGACCCAGGACUGGAGCCAAGUCCUCCAACUCCAGAGCCUCCUGGUGUCCUCCUGGCGCUGACCUCAGUCUCUUUGUGGAAUGGCUGGAGGAAGCAGACAUCUGCGAC
rnacentral:lncRNA from 1 species